GGCUGAGUCCCUUCAUGUAAGUAUUAUUUAAUUUUAAUUCUUAUGUUACGCAUUCAAUUAUAUGCAUGUUUUAAUUUAUAUUUUAUGUUAUGUUAAACAGACGACGAUGGUGGAUAGGAGCUAGUUGGUUUUUCAGGAGUCCGCCUCCCAACUUCCUCCCGAGACUCCGAUCGAGUCUGUGGAUCCUCCACAGGAUGCUGGAUUUCAGAUCUUGACGGAGACGUUGGACCGAACUCUCAGGAGGACGCAGGGGACAUAUUGUCGAGAGAUGGGGAAUGCCCAGUAGAGGGAACCUAGACCCCGUUCAUCAGCGCAGUCAAACAGUCAGGUGACUGCUUUGACAGCACAGGUGGCCGCGCUUCAGGGUAAGAUGUCGGUAAUUCUGCAGUCCCUCCCGCGGUCCGACAUUCUAGUCCAGCAAUUUGAUGCGUCGACCUCCGAGCCCGUCCACCUCGAGCAUGCCCGCUAGACCACUGCCCCUAUGGACCCCUAGAUCUCCGAGCUGCAUAUGCCUGACGACCAAGCAGAUUUUGGAACAUAAUUUGAUUAGUUUUUUUAUUUUUAUAAUUAUAUUUUAAACAUUUCUCUUGUAACACAUUUAUUUUAUUUUAUAUAAUUUUUUGUUCUCUUCAAUUCAUUUUGUG
rnacentral:lncRNA from 1 species